rnacentral:lncRNA from 1 species
CGGUCUUUGAUCUCUUCUCUUUUUCAUGUCCUCAACAAGUGGAUGUGUAGCAUCGUGAGAUGGCAGAUGAUCUCUCAUCUUCACUACCACAGGGGCAUCCUCUUCUUCCUCUGUAGCAAAUUCUCUGGACGCAGAGCCUUUGUUCUUCUCUGUUGUAGGAAUGUCCUUUGUAGUCCUCUUGGGAGCUACAAACUUAUUAGCCUUAGGUGCUAAAUGCUUGAUGGCAGACUUCUUAGGCAUAGCAUCAGCCAUUAGCUUUUUCUUCUUAGGAGGAGGGACCUCGGGUGGAAUUUCUUCGUCCUCAUCAUCAACAGCUUCUGCUGGAUCUUCAUACAUUGUGGUUGGCCUACCAACAGCAAGGAAAAUUCUCUUUCUGGCUCUGUUGUGACUUGCCUUCUUUGCAAGCCUAGCUUCGGGAGCUUUAAUGUCAGCAGGUCUGGCAUUUUCCUUCCUCACAAUCUUCCUCGCUGUGGUCUUCUCCUUCAACUUCUGGGGAACAGUUUCCUGUGGGAUAAAGUCAACAUUUUCUUCAUCAGAAUCGAUCUUCCUUCUAGACCUGGUAGCUGCCUUGGGAAAGCCAUGUGAGCUAGGUGUUCCUGGGUCACAAGGUGUCCUCUUAGGACUAGUGCAUGAGUCCAUGUCAGCACUGGGCUCACUGAAGUUGUUUUGACUAUCCUCUGAUCUUGACAUCCUGACAAACAGCAAAGCACACAUGCACACAAGCAGAGAAGCACAUAAGCAGACCCUCUAAAGAGAUAUAGAAGAGCUGGAAGGGAUGAGUAUCACAAAAAUCAGAAGUUUUGAAAAGCGGAACUCUGAAAAAUUAGGUUUAAUAUUCAGCAAAAAGGGAUUUUGGUUCUACCGAGUCAAAAAAUUCGGAGCCACCAAGACUGAUGUUCUCAUUAACAGAAACUUGACACCCUUUUCAGUUUCACCAAAAAGGAGAACUCGGUUCCACCAAGAAUGUUCUUAGUAACCCUAAAACCAAAUCGGUAAUACCGACCUUUACGAAUCGGUGACACCGAGAUUCAAUUUUGCGGACGGUUAACCCGAAAAUUUCAAUUGUUCUCUAAACUAUGGGAACUUUCUUCUCGAUAGAAUUGACACCAAGAUAAAUCGUGAAGACCUAUUUGCGUAAGAAUUAGAAUUGGGACCGCAGAGAGGGGCCAGAUUCAUACCCUAACUUGGUGGUGAAUCCGCUACAACGACGACGGUGCUGAAGAUUCCCGUCGACGGGGAAGACUCCGGCGGCGAGGGCGCACAAUAGAAUCAAGGAGAUGUCCAUGGGACUAGGGCGCGACAUCGAGGUGGUGCGGGAGGCGAUGUUUGAAGAAUUGUUUCAACCAUCGGGUCCGCGGGAUAUAUAUAUACCCCCUUGCUGACGGUGACACCUAGAUGGAGUUUUCGGUGCCACCGAGUUCCUCAACUGUGAGGUAACAAGGAAACUCCAUGAGGCCGAAAAGAACAACUCGAUGGUGCCAAGAUAGGAAAACCUGAUCAACCCUAGGCUUGGGUGGGACCGAGAUUUUGAGGUUAGUCACACCGAGAUGCACUUUGGGAGGUUUUGGAAUUCAGCCCUUGUCAAGAUGGAUCUCUGAGUUCUCCUCACAUAGAGUGUACCUAAAGUGCUUGCUCAAAUUUUGUGAUUUAGCAUGAAUAGAAUUUGAGACAAGAAAGCAUAGAUAGCUAGAGGAAGGUACCUAGGCAUUCUUGUAUAUCCCAUUGGCCAAUGAAAUAGAAAUCCAAAUAACAACAAUUGGAUAUCCUCUAAUGAAAAAAUAUAUGCAUACCAACAUGCUGAGACAAUAAGAUGUCAAAUAAAACAUGAUGAACAUGCUCAAACAUUCUAGCAUCUAUCAAGCACUUUGUCAAUUACGUAGUCAUCUUUAUAUGAGUAUAUUGACAUAGGAGCCAAGUAAGAAUACUUGAUCAUAGAUCAUACAAAUCGAUUAGAACCAGUGGGGUUAACACUUUUACAUAAAGCAUUAAUGUGUUCACAUCGUCUAGGAGACGCUUAUACUCAAGUCUUAGAGUAAAUCUCCCCCAAGAUGUGGCAUCCCCCCUAAGAGGGAUAAAAUAACCUUGGGUUUUGUCGUAGAAGACUUCAAGUAGGUGUAGUAGUGGUGCAUGCUCAUUGUUGAUGAAGAUCAUCUUGAGCUGGGAGCAAUCCUUGUUGUUUCUUACUCUUCUCACCUUGUCCCUUACUUACCAUUGAGGGAAUGUGUGACUCCUUGAAGUAAUGCAUAUGGUUGGAGUUGAUUGCAUAUAGUUCUUGACAAAAUGAAUAAGAGUGAAUUUCAUUGGCGAGGUCACCCCUCAAGAACUUUCUAGUUUUUCCUCCUAGGGACCCACAUCAACUUGAUGGGAAUCCUUGGAGUUGUGGUACCACUUGAUGAUGUAGUGCUAGUAGUGUCCUUGGGAACCCACUCGGUCUUGGCUUGGGGUUCUUCCUCAAAUAAUUCAAUCUCCUCUUCAAGCUUUCCUUUGCCCUUGUGGUCUUGUUGUGGAAGAUCAUCUUUAAAGCUUGUUCCCUUGGGAGGAGUAGGAUCAUACCUUUCCUCCUGAGGAACGAACUUUGGGAUGGGAUAUAGACCUUCUUCCCAAACAUCUCCCUUGGCAUUGAAUUAGAGAACACCUUUCUUGUUCCGAUGUCCUCCUUCCUUGCGCACAAUUUUCUCGAAUUGCUUACUUCCGGCAAGACUCUUGAAAACACCUUUCUCUAUAAUUCCUUUCCAUAAAUCGUUUUCUUUCUCAAGCGUAACUUGGCUAAGAGAAUCCUUAGUGGAAUCAAUAGAGCUACUAGCAACAACAUCAUUUGAUCUUACUUAACAUUGUUUUUACUAGAUGAAGAAACUUUCUUGCCUUUGUUACUAGUAUUCUUAGGUUUAACUUGUGAAACAAAAGUACGAGCGUACGGCAUAUGUCAUACCAUGUGGGUGUGCAUUCUUUUCAUGGAAUAACAGCAACUCCAACGGGACGACCCAUUUCGUCUGCCGCCGUUCAUUUAGGACCGCACGGACAAAACGGAUGGCCCAGCGCGCCGACCCAUUACCAAAACGCGUCUGUGGCGAUCCAUUUACGGCCCAAAUUUGGGACUACAAUGUGUCGACACGAACGCGAAGCGGACGCGCGCGUGCCUUCUCGGUGUCCACCCCAACCACCCACAGUCAACAUAAUUUAUGAUGGCCGUCCUUCUCAGGUCCAUGCGUCAGCGGCCGCGGUCGACCUUUUUUAAUCCGCCCGAGCGGUGGGCUCCGCCUCAUCUGCUUCCAGAACCCACCCGUCCCUAUCUCGCCACCUCUUCGGCGACCAAACCCUAGCCGCGUGCCAUGGCUGACUCCUUCCAAAACAAGGGCAAGGACCCCCUCUACCCUCGCGCCAUCUCCCCGUCGGCGGGACAGACGACGGAGGCGUAGGUAGUUGUGCCCUGCACUACAAGAAAUGUGUUAAUGCACGACGGUUCAAUUCCGUCACGGAUCAAUCAAAGACUGUCAUGCAUGCCCAUCCACGACGGAUACAAAAUUCGUCAUGUAUAUCGCGUCAUAAUUUGAUAUCAUACCUUCCACGACGGUUCUUGCCCGUCAUGGAUCUACCAGAGGCUCGCCCAACCCAAACCGAUGCCACGUAGGAUUCUCACGUGGCUGCCUAUUUGGACAUUGUUUUUGUCACAGAAUCCGUCACGGAUUUAGGCACAAUUUAAAUUUAGUCCAGCCCAUCAAUCCAUUUCUUUUGGCCCAAUAUUGACCCAAUAAACAUUUAUCAUAAUAUGUCACAGAAAUCAUAAUGCCAAUUUUGGCCAAGACAAAGGAUUUGCAAAGUGUCAUACAUUACAAAAAUAAUUCAGUAUGCAGCCAUUUGUAAGUAUAUACAACAUAACAGUUUGCAAAAUCCAAUAUGAAAUCAUAAUUGACAACAUAGAUAGGAAAAAUGUGAAACAACAUAGAUUGGUCAAAUAUGACACAACAAUGUAAAGAGCAAGUACAUUCUAGUUUACAUUAAGAGAACUAUAACGUAUUGAGGUUAUUCAGGUUCUUCCAAAUCAGCCCUCCUGGCCCUCCCCUCCUGAUGGCAACUACCAUGCCGUAGCAUAGGGCGAUGAGUAGCAUCAAGUAUCCCACCACCCAAAUGUGCCUACCAUAUUUACAAGAACAUUAGAUAUAUAUAUAUAUGAAUAGAUUGUUGAAAUGAGAGAAUUACAAGAACUACAAAAAAUAAAUUACUAGUUGUCCAAAAUUUGUAAAUCUUAUAGUGACUACAAAUGAGAAUGACAUAAUAUCUACUAUAAACAGAACAAACAUGAGGUUUCUUAGAAGUAUUCCAAAUAAAAGUGUGUCAAAUUAAUGUUUAAUAAAAUUAACCUAUACUUGACAAAGUAAUAGAACACACAUCACAGACUCCAAACACUAUAGCACAAAUAGUUGAAACUAUAUAAAUCGCUCAAGAAAAUGAUAUCACUAAGAAUCAAUAUUAAAAAUGGCGUCACUAGCAACAACAAUUGACACAUGAACAUUUGAAGUUUACAUCGGCCAAGUUGAUGACCAGCGGCAUGAAGCUCAAUUUUUUUACACGUAUAUAUGCUUAUUUUUUGGCAAUUACAAAUUGGAGAAUACUUCUACUCUGUUUUGGUUGUAUGUUGAAGACUAAUGUAACAUCUAAAGGUCCGAUAGACAGAUGACACAAACAUGCUGAAGGUUCAUAAAAACAAAAGCAACUUCCAUUCAUACUGUCCUACUAUAACAAAUUAUGAAGCACGGACACGAUGAUGCAGGGACACGAGAUACGACAAUUUUUUAAAAGAACAUCAAUACGACAAUACAAUGAGUAUAUAUAAAUAACUAAUAAAAUGCCUUGCAAUAAAGAUGGAAUUAUUGAAUGUGUGAGGUGAGAACAAAAUAGUGCCAAAUUAAUUUAUUACAUGGCUUAAGCAUUAAAUGAUGAUUAUCUAGAUACAAGCACAAUCGGAACCCAUGAACACCAAGAGAUGGCAAAUCUAGUAGUGUAUCGAUGCAAUGCAUGAUAUCAGGGAGAUGGUCCAAUGCAGAUUAUGUACGUCCAAUGCAGAUUAUGUAUGCAUAAAAAUCCAUGCAGUUAUAUUUUACUAGAACCACACAAAGUCCACACCUUGGACAACCCAAAAUCUACAACAUGAUUAUUUCAAAUCAAGAAUAAGACAAGCAGAAGAAUGUAAGGAUAUAUGAAAGCAAAGGUUUCAGCUUUCCGUAUCUCUUCUCAACAUCGAGUCAUAUGGCAAAUCUAACAAGGAAGCAUACAAAUCUAGCAGUAAUUUUUGUGCCAAGUAGUAUAACAUGCACCCAUGAGACACAAAAAUAUAACGAUUUAGGGUCACAACAAGAUUACUGGGAGCCGCUUCCAAUAGGUCUUGCAGGACUUGAGAUUUCUUAGCAACGUGGGGCAUUACCAUCAACACUUGGCAAGAGAAACAAACAGCAAAGCACAUGUGAGAUAUAUUUUGCCUUCAUAACACCACAACAAUAUUAGGCUUGUCUGUUGCUUCUUCGAUAGGGUUACUACCUCCUCCUUUUGGGCGUCCUCUGCAUCAGCAGCAUCCGAGCCCUUCUUCUCCGCAGCACUUGCAGCACCAUCUUCUCCUUCUCAUUAUCCUUAGAACAAACAAAAUUGUGUCCAUUUCAGUCCAAACUGUAGCUGAAACAGAGAACCAAGUACCAGAUUCAGCAAACAAAAACUGUGUCCAUUUCUGCAAAAAAAUAGGGAGUGUAUAACUAUCAAACAGUUUUUAUUUUGAUUCAGGCUGUUUUUUCUCUUGCAAUCACAAUUCAACACAUGUCUAUACUCACUAGUCAGUCCAGAUUCAAUAUGAAAAAAUCAUCUGUUUUCUUUUGUGCUUCAGGUGGAAUUUUAGCGCCAGUCUUUCUGUCCCGUCUAAUGAUUUGAGCGUCCGACCUGUCCACUUCCUUCUUCCCACUUGCGUGGAGAAAAAAAAACAUUUUCAAAACAUAUUCAUCUGAAUAACAAAAAACGCUAACUAGUUGGCCUGGAGAAAAAACACCUUCCUAAAAUUGACAAGAUUCCAAAACAUGAAUACAGGGUGUUGUUAUAAAAAAUCAGGAAUACAAAGCCUUAGUGGUUCAAAAUGUUAUAACCCAAACUUUUGUUUUCUGAAAGGAAGAAAUUGUAGACCAACUGAAUGUAGGCACCACUAUGUUUAUUUUAGAAGGUAUGGUUUUGCUACUCAUAUGGUUCGGCAUUAAAAAGAACAAACUUCAGGAAAUGGGUGUGCUCUCUCUAAAUUUUCUUUACUGAUCAACACACAUACCCAAACUAGACUAAUGAUGGAUCAAAGACCGACCUAAUGAAACUAAAAUAGAGGGAAAUUAAAACAAAAAAACAAACUGCAGCUAACUACAACAUGACUGAACAUAGGCAGAAAAAAUACAACACUGAAAAUUGACACUAAAAUUAAAGCUACAACGAUAGAAAAAAUACAUGAAUAUCGGUGACUGACGAGUGAGACUGACCAUAACCAAAUACUAAAUUAUCUGAUAAACUGAUACUAAAAACAAAAGCAAUAAUGAUAGAAAAUAUGAACUGAUAACUGAAAAAAGACAAGUUAGACCGAUGACUAAAUACUAAAGUAUCUGAUAAACUGAACACCAAAAUCUGAAGACCCGCCUCCUAAUAAAAACAAACUGAAGCUAACUACAACAUGACUGAAGAUAGGCAGAUAAAAAUACAAGACUGAAAACUGACACUCCAACUAAACCUACAAUGAUAGAAAAAAUUACAUGAAGACUGAAUGCCCGACGAGUGAGACUGAGCAGAACUGAAUACAAAAUUAUCUCAUAAACUGAUACUAAAAGCUAAAGAAACAAUGACAGAAAAUAUAAACUGAAAAUGAAAAAUGAAAAGUUACACUGAUGACUGAAUACUAAAGUAUCUGAUAAACAUGACUAAAUACAAAUUUUUAGCAUGUUAACAUUGAUCCCUCAAAGAAUCAACACUAAAAAAAAUGAACAAGCACAGUGACUGAUCAAAUAUGAAUACGAUAACAAUGAACUGACAUAAUGACCAAGGGACUGAAAGUCUAAUAAAGAAUAACACUGAUGUAGUGAUGAGUAAAUGUACACAUCCACACACUUUUGUUGUCGAUGCUGCUGCUAGUUCAUCAAAGCACCUCACAUUUUUGCUCCAAGAUGCCAGCAACUAAGCAUCGGUCUGUACACGUCCAGAAACUCGAGACUAGGCAUGUUAUCGCAUCCGAAUGGCCUGCAAUUAACACCCGGGGCCAAAGCACGCUCGACUGAGCACAAAUUUCACAAGGCACUCCUAGGUGACCACCAGGAACACCAACUGAGUACUUCCUGAGCAACUCAGGAAUCAGAACACGAAUCCUGACUCACAAAUGUAGAAUUAGCACAUUCGUCAUUCUUGUGUUAUGGCUUGAAAUUGCUUGGCCAGCCGCAGACAAACACCAAAUCUUGACCCCUGCAUAGUGAAUCUAACUCUCACACACCUUACAAAAAUUGCACUAGAUCCCCUUCAGAAAUAUGGAUCAUCAGUACACACAAAUUACUGAUAAACUAGUACACCCCACAAAACACAUAUAAUGUGAAAAGGGGGAAACAUAGCUGAACGCACAACCCUAGAAAUCCGUGGGCGAAAAAUCGAACUCCACGGAUCAGAUAAUCUAAGAAUCGAGAUGAUGCAGAUAUAUCUCAUGAAAUUAGUGCAAGCACGAUUAAUCCCACACAAGCAAAAAAGGAUCUGAGUUAGCGGCCACUAGCAAAUGCACGGAAAUGAGCACUAAUUACUAACUGAGAAAUUACUCGGAUGAGAGGUGGGGGUGGGAAAACACACUCGAUACAUCCCACCAGACCGGCACCGACGACUGAUUCCGACCUCACCGGCGAACACCUGCUGGUGGCGGGACUAAAGGAAAAACUCUGUCGGCCUCCUCUCUGUACCACUCUCUCCUUCCUCCUGAUAAUCUAAGAGGAGAAGAGGGAAGGGGCAGACCUGGGUAGGGGUCAGAGUAGCAAAGCUCUAUGAGUGGAGUCCGUGGCGUCUCCUCACACAUAGCCGAGUAGUAUCAAUGGAAGGAAGUAAUCCUCCUAUCCCCGGGCUGGCCCUUGAUUGUGGGGAAGGAGAUGAUAUCCAUGGCGGCAAAGCCCGCAACCUUGGCGAGGAGGCGGAGGUGGCUGCGGUAGUGGUGGAUCUGGUCGCUGCCAUGGCUGGUCAACUCUCCCAUCCAUCUCCAAAGGAGGGAAGCAGGAGGGGGUAGGAGGGCGGCUGUUGUGGGGGAUUUUGACGGUGAGGUGUGACGACGGCAUUGGGUUGCGAAUUUGGUCGACGGCUGCUCACCCAUCGGAGGGAGCGUCGGAGUGAAUCUGAAGGAGAGGAGGCGGCGGAUGCACGUGGAUAGGGUUUUCGGUGAGAGAGGCACGAGGGUGUGGGACUGUGUGUUAUGUAUUUUCACAGAUAGG